GUUGUUGUCGGUCUACUCUGUUAGCCGCUAGGUGCGCGUAGCAUGACGCAAAGGGAAUCCGAGAUAUUUUUGCUUGGAUUUGGUUGUUGUUGUCGGUCUACUCUGUUAGCCGCUAGGUGCGCGUAGCAUGAUGCAAAGAGAAUCCGAUAUAUUUUUGCUUGGAUUUGGUUGUUGUUGUCGGUUUACUCUGUUAGCCGCUAGGUGCGCGUAGCAUGAUGCAAAGGGAAUCCGAGAUAUUUUUGCUUGGAUUUGGUUGUUGUUGUCGGUCUACUCUGUUAGCUGCUAGGUGCGCGUAGCAUGAUGCAAAGAGAAUCCGAUAUAUUUUUGCUUGGAUUUGGUUGUUGUUGUCGGUCUACUCUGUUAGCCGCUAGGUGCGCGUAGCAUGAUGCAAAGAGAAUCCGAUAUAUUUUUGCUUGGAUUUGGUUGUUGUUGUCGGUCUACUCUGUUAGCUGCUAGGUGCGCGUAGCAUGAUGCAAAGAGAAUCCGAUAUAUUUUUGCUUGGAUUUGGUUGUUGUUGUCGGUCUACUCUGUUAGCCGCUAGGUGCUCGUAGCAUGAUGUAAAGAGAAUCUGAGAUAUUUUUGCUUGGAUUUGGUUGUUGUUGUCGGUCUACUCUGUUAGCCGCUAGGUGCGCGUAGCUGAGGUUGCAUUUGCACAGUUGAGUCGGUGUUGAAUUUAGCAACAUGUGCUCACUCAGAAAACGAAAAAAAUCGAAAUUAUCUCAAGGUGAACGCGUUCAAAUUUCACCUUUGCGUGUUCUCCUUGCCCUUGCGUGGUUUUUCGACGAGCACCUCAGUUUCCUCACAUGCUCCCGAAAGGCGAUCGCAACGUUAAUUGAAGACUCUAAACUGUUUUUCGUCUACAAACGAACUGAUGCGCUUUACUUAAAACACCGAGCAUGUGUUCAAAGCUGAAGGUAGUUAUUUGAAGUCACCUCCUGCACGCUUUUGUUCCCAGUGGAGAGCCCACGUGGAGGGGUGGGGGGGGGGGGGGUAUUCCCGACUCGAUCUGUGAUCGUGUGGCAAAGGGCAAAACAUCCAAGCGUGGAUUAACAACCGCUUGAUAGCUCUCACGUGUCGCUCUUUGAAUGCGCCCUAUCAGGACAGGAGACCUUUGGGAACUCUCUGAACAGUCGGCCUGUGAUGAUGAAACAGAAGAACACGCUCAGACACGCUGCAGCAAAUCUGUGACCCUGGAAAGCAAAACUUCCAGGUCAACGGUCUUCGGUUUCGGGUGGCCGGGAUUGAACGAUUCAUUUUUCCUGGCACCUCAACCCAAACUCGCCGCGACGGCCUGUGGUCUCCGAGUCUGGUCUGGGAUCACGCAGAUUCAGCUGCAUCCGAGGGCAACCCCCCUUCCACCCCACCCACCCCUUCUGUCCUCGGGCCGUGUGCCAGUGAGGAGGAAAGCGCGAGGCAUUAGGACACACCUCGGUGGGCAGCGGCAGCCUGAAUCAUCCCGGCUCUCGCGGGCUCGCAACGGCCUGACAUUCCCAUCAGCCGUUGCCGUUCCGAGCAGCUCAUUCCUUUGACAUGCCGGUGAGUCCAUUUCACAAACAGGGUGAAAGCAGAGUGGACCAGUUCUCGUGAAGCGCACGAGCUCGGGACUAAGAUGGCAGAGAGGAGAAGAAUAAAUACGCGCGCGAGACUUUCAUGAGAGAUUUCAGAUUGAUUGAUUUAUUUUUUUUCACAGCAGUCGUUUUGACUCAGCAUGCAGAAAAUAGUGGCGCGUAAUCUAUUCUAGUGGAGUGGCACGUGGACCGCAAAAGGCACUUUGGAUUGUGGUUGAGGAUCCGUGUCAAGCCGCGGGAGUUGUCACCAUUUGACUUGUUCUGACAUCGGACCCCCCGCCACAGCUUGAACACACUGCACCAUUUUCUGGCGCUCGCUGGCCGGUGGCUUCGUGUGUCCGAAAUGCAUCUCGAAGCACAAACGCACCUUCACGUUUUUGCAUUGCCGUCCAGCUAAGAUGAGGAAAAACAUCGUUUGAUUCAUGACCUUCUAUCCGCCUGCUGUAAUCGCGCUGGGGCUUUUGUGGGAAGCCUUUCCAUGUCCAUCCAUCCAUUCUCCGAACCGCUUGAUCCUCACUAGGGUGGCGGGGGGUGCUGGAGCCUAUCCCAGCUGUCUUCGGGCAGUAGGCGGGGGACACCCUGAAUCGGUUGCCAGCCAAUCGCAGGGCACACAUAGACGAACAACCAUCCACGCUCACACUCACACCUAGGGACAAUUUAGAGUGUUCAAUCAGCCUGCCACGCAUGUUUUUGGAAUGUGGGAGGAAACCGGAGCACCCGGAGAAAACCCACGCAGGCCCGGGGAGAACAUGCAAACUCCACACAGGGAGGCCGGAGCUGGAAUCGAACCCGGUACCUCUGCACUGUGAAGCCGACGUGCUAACCACUGGACUACCGGGCCGCCCCCUUUCCAUGUCAAUUGUGUUUAUUGAAAGAACAAUCUUUUCACGUCCUGUUUUCGUCAUGAGCCCUUCGAAUCGUCAUCUCGCCCGCCCCCCCGCACCACAUUGAUGAUGCCCCGGGGUCAAAUAAUCGUGUGCAGUCGAGUGUUUGUCUUCAGGUUGAAGAGAUUUUUCGUCACUUAUAAGACGCACGUUAUUUGUAGAUGUGAAGACACGAGAGGAUUAUUGAUCACGCUUUUUGCUGGAAAUCACAAAUCUUUUCCGCCCACGUUAAGAAAGACGUCAGCUGUGGGACCACGCCAAGGUGGUGGUUUGCAUUCCAUUAAAUGAAAAUGUUGUAGGUUUGAAUCUUGGCUUUGGCCUGGUCUGUCUGGAGUUCAAAUGUCUUCAUUCAAUCUGAAAAUGUGCUU